CACACACCCAUCAUCCAGCACUCACACACAUACACAUCAUCCAGCACUCACACCCCCAUCAUCCAGCACUCACACACCCAUCAUCCAGCACUCACACACACACACACAUCAUCCAGCACUCACUCACACACCCAUCAUCCAGCACUCACACACACUCACAUCAUCCAGCACUCACACACCCAUCAUCCAGCACUCUCACACACACACACACACACAUCAUCCAGCACUCACACACCCAUCAUCCAGCACUCACACACACACAUCAUCCAGCACUCACACACCCA